GUGGGGGAUAUUGCACAAUGGGCGAAAGCCUGAUGCAGCAACGCCGCGUGAGGGAAGACGGUUUUCGGAUUGUAAACCUCUGUCUUUGGUGAAGAAGGAAGUGACGGUAGCCAAGGAGGAAGCCACGGCUAACUACGUGCCAGCAGCCGCGGUAAUACGUAGGUGGCAAGCGUUGUCCGGAAUUACUGGGUGUAAAGGGAGCGCAGGCGGGACGGCAAGUUGGAUGUGAAAUACCGCAGCUCAACUGCGGAGCUGCAUCCAAAACUGUCGUUCUUGAGUGGAGUAGAGGUAGGCGGAAUUCCGAGUGUAGCGGUGAAAUGCGUAGAUAUUCGGAGGAACACCAGUGGCGAAGGCGGCCUACUGGGCUCUUACUGACGCUGAGGCUCGAAAGUGUGGGGAGCAAACAGG
rnacentral:rRNA from 1 species